UCUUCUCUCUCCUUCUUUCCCUUCUCUUCUUCUCUUUGCUUUUCUCUGGUGAUUCUUCAAGUUUUGAGAGAUGGAAUUAAGUUACAAGAUCGUGAGGGCUAGGUAGAGAGCAAGGAUUGAUCGAGAGUGAUGAUGUUGAUUCGAGUCUCGAAUUCAAAGUUCUCAGAAAAGUAGUCUAUAUUAACAACAAUCGAUUCAAAGGAUGAACCAGUGGAUUGAGGAAUUCAAGGUAGGAGUGGCUUGUCAUCAAAUCAGGUGGGAACUCUGUAACUUUCUUGUAAUCAUUGAGAUUUCUUUCUAUCUGCGAGCAUGAUGUGUUUUUAAUAUCAGUAUGUGCAAUGUUUGCAAUGAAUGUAAAUAUGUGUGUAAUAUGUGUUGUGUGAAUUCCCUGCAAGGAGUGACCGUGUUUCCCCACGGCUUCUUGCUAUGUUCUAUGUAGGCCGGGGAAAGCCGGUCGAAUAUUACGCACUUUACAUUUUUUAGUAGACCGGGGGAAGCCGGUUAAAUAUUAUGCA